rnacentral:rRNA from 1 species
UUUCCUUAUGGUUAUGUGUGAGGUAAGGCCUGCUCACUGAGUGUAUUGAAGAGCCGCAGUAUAUUGACUGUGCGAAGGUAGCAUAAUCAUUAGUUUUUUAAUUGAAGACUGGAAUGAACGGUCAAACGAAAAUUUAUUUGUCUCUUAGUAAUUCGACAAAAUUUUAUUUUAUAGUGAGAAAGCUAUAAUAGAAUAAAAGGACGAGAAGACCCCGUAGAGCUUUAUAGACAGUGCGAAUUGUUGGUAAGGUUCAGAGCUGCUGUUUAUUAUAUUGGGGUGAUAAUGAAAUAAAUAAACUUUUAUUAUUAUAACAUUUAUUUUUGAAUUUAGGGCCUUGGGUUAUAUAAAGAAUAAGUUACCUCGGGGAUAACAGCGUAAUUAUUUUGGAGAGCCCAUAUUGAUAAAAUAGAUUGCGACCUCGAUGUUGGAUUAGAAAAAUUAUUUAAAGCAAAAAUUAGAGUGUUAAGUCUGUUCGACUGUGAAAUUUCUA